UACGUAGGGCGCAAGCGUUGUCCGGAUUUAUUGGGCGUAAAGAGCUCGUAGGCGGUUUGUCGAGUCUUCCGUGAAAACUGGGGGCUUAACUUCCAGCUUGCGGUGGAUACGGGCUGACUGGAGUGCGGCAGGGGAGACUGGAAUUCAUGGUGUAGCAGUGAAAUGCGUAGAGAUCAUGAGGAAGACCAGUGGCGAAGGCGGGUCUCUGGACAGUUCCUGACACUGAGGCACGAAGGCCAGGGGAGCAAACGGG
rnacentral:rRNA from 1 species